rnacentral:lncRNA from 1 species
CUUUGCAAUUUUUUAAAACUUCCUCAGAAAAAUGCUCGAGCCACUCGACUUUCAUAGCUCAUAAUUAACGUUUUUACACAAUAUUUGAAUAAAGUAGUUAAAGAUUAUUCGCUUCUCAAAGUGUAAGACGCAAUCAAAAUCGUAUGCUUGCACCAUCUUACCGAAAUACGGAUUUAAUUAAGUCCUGAACAUUUCGACAUUUCUUCGUUUAUUUUUAUCAAAACCGGAUUUAAACAAAUCACAAGUAUGUGUUAAGAUCCGACUAAAAACCUAUUUCCCGAUAUGGUCAGGUAAAUUUGCUAC